CCUACGGGUGGCAGCAGUGAGGAAUAUUGGUCAAUGGGCGCAACCCUGAACCAGCCAAGUAGCGUGAGGGAAGACGGCCCUAUGGAUUGUAAACCUCUUUUAUCGGGGGACAAAGGACUCCACGCGUGGCUGUUUGCGGGUACCGCAUGAAAAAGCACCGGCUAAUUCCGUGCCAGCAGCCGCGGUAAUACGGAAGGUCCGGGCGUUAUCCGGAUUUAUUGGGUUUAAAGGGUGCGUAGGCCGGACUUCAAGCGUGCGGUGAAAUUUUGUGGCUCAACCCUGUGCGUGCGGCGGGAACUGGUUACCUUGAGUGAGCGAGAGGUAGGCGGAAUUCGUGGUGUAGCGGUGAAAUGCAUAGAUAUCACGAAGAACCCCGAUUGCGAAGGCAGCAUGCCGGAGCGUAACUGACGCUGAUGCUCGAAAGUGCGGGUAUCGAACAGGAUUAGAUACCCUAGUAGUC
rnacentral:rRNA from 1 species